UCCGGAAGACAGAGCUUUCUGUGUUGUUAGUGUCAGCCUUUGUGUCAUAGACUGCAAAUCUCCCUGCUCACUGCUGCUCCACUAAGGCAGCAAAUCAGCUUCAUGCUCUUCUGGCUGAAGGCUUUUGGAAUGGAUAAGAGCAAGGGGAGGGAAAAAAAACCUGCUUCCUUGACAGGGGCAGUCCUAAAGGCUGGCUGCGGAGUGUGCAGCCACUUGCACAACAUUAUUGCACUCUUCCACGGUGGCAAGUUUGAAGAUGAAUACCUGAAGUACUGUGAGGCAGAUUUAAGCACAAGCACCAGCAGCUCAUGCCAAAGCUCCGCUCCCAGACCUAUGAACUGAUGCCAAGCCUCCUGUUUUCAAUUACGCAAACCUUCCACCUCCUGCUCCAGAGGCUGCAAGCACAGAUCCUCCACAUAAGAAUCACGCCACAUAUAGAGCCGAAUCUGAGAAGUGAAGUGGGAAGGAAACAACAGCGUGAGAGGAAGCUGGGUGAAGAGCGAUCAUCAAGAGAGAAAAGAAACAUAAAGCAGGAUAAGCAGCUUUCAGGCACUUGCACUGGAGCACCAGGGAAUGGAUUCUGCAUGGAGCACUGUGUUAUCCAGCCAGCUUCACAUAACCAAAGAAGACCCAUAGAAGAGCCUUAGCUGGACAGCAGUUUAGGCAAAAUAACAACUAUGCAUACUUGGCAAGUGUGGGUGAUGUACAUGCUCUUGGCUGCACUCCUCUCAGAAGAACAAGCCCUGAAACAGGCCUGUCCUUCAUGCAAUGCCUCUCAGUC
rnacentral:lncRNA from 1 species